rnacentral:rRNA from 1 species
UACAGAGGCCCCAAGCGUUACUGAGAAUCACUGGGUUUAAAGCGUGCGCAGGCGGUCUGCUAAGAGAGAUGUGAAAUCCCCGGGCUUAACCUGGGAACUGCGUUUCUAACUGGCAGGCUAGAGUGUGGCAGAGGGGGGUGGAAUUCCACGUGUAGCAGUGAAAUGCGUAGAGAUGUGGAGGAACACCGAUGGCGAAGGCAGCCCCCUGGGCUAACACUGACGCUCAUGCACGAAAGCGUGGGGAGCAAACAGG